AUGAUCAUACAUCAACCAAUCUCAUCAAACACGAGAAAAUAAAAUAACAUGGCCUCAGACAAUCUUGUAGUGCUCAAUGCACUUGACACAGCGCGUACCCAAUGGUACCAUGUCACUGCUGUUAUCAUUGCUGGGAUGGGAUUUUUCACUGAUGCAUAUGAUCUGUUCUGUAUCACUACUAUCUCAAAACUUUUAGGCCGUUUGUACUACUACGACCCAACUACCCAUGCCCCUGGAAAAUUGCCUCAUGUCGCAAACAAUUGGGUGAUUGGAGUUGCUCUAGUUGGUACUCUAUCUGGCCAGCUUGUUUUUGGUUGGCUCGGAGACAAACUUGGUCGAAAGAAAGUCUAUGGACUUACGUUAAUUCUCAUGGUCCUUUGUGCACUUUGCUCGGGGUUGUCCCUUGGGUAUAGCGCGAAAGGUGUAAUAGGGACACUUUGUUUCUUCAGAUUCUGGCUUGGAUUUGGAAUUGGAGGUGAUUAUCCUCUUUCUGCUACCAUCAUGUCUGAAUACGCUAACAAGGCAACUCGUGGGGCGUUCAUUGCUGCUGUUUUCGCUAUGCAAGGAGUUGGGAUCAUUUUUGCAGGGCUCGUUUCGAUGAUCAUUUCAAAAUUGUUCUUGAUGAGGUAUGAAGGGAAGCCAUUUAAUGUGGAUGAAAUUUUGUCCACGGAGCCCCAGGCAGAUUAUGUUUGGCGGAUCGUGUUGAUGCUUGGAGCUCUUCCAGCUCUUCUUACCUAUUAUUGGCGCAUGAAGAUGCCUGAAACAGGGCGUUACACUGCCAUGAUUGAAGGAAAUGCUAAACAAGCCGCGAUUAACAUGGGGAAGGUACUUGAUAUUGAAAUUCAAGCAGAAAGUGAUAAAUUGGCUCAAUUUAAAGCAGCUAAUGAGUAUUCUUUACUCUCCAAUGAGUUUUUCCAACGCCACGGGCUUCAUUUGAUUGGUACAAUGAGUACUUGGUUCUUGUUAGACAUAGCUUUCUAUAGCCAAAACCUCACACAAAAGGAUAUAUUUCCAGUCAUGGGACUCACUAGCAAAGCUAACACAAUAUCCGCCUUGAGGGAGAUGUUUGAGACAUCGCGUGCCAUGUUUGUGAUUGCCUUGUUUGGUACUUUUCCUGGUUACUGGUUCACAGUAUUCUUCAUUGAAAAAAUCGGAAGGUUUAGAAUACAAUUGAUGGGGUUCUUCAUGAUGUCUGUUUUCAUGGCGAUCAUUGGAGUCAAAUACGAUUACCUAAAGACUGAAGAACACAAGUGGACAUUCGCUACUCUUUAUGGUUUAACUUUCUUCUUUGCCAAUUUCGGCCCCAAUUCAACCACAUUUGUGCUCCCCGCGGAGCUGUUCCCUACAAGGGUGAGAUCCACUUGCCACGCGUUGAGCGCAGCUUCUGGAAAGGCAGGGGCAAUGAUCAGUGCAUUUGGGAUACAACAAUAUACACAAGAUGGGAAUGUUCAUAAAAUCAAGACAGCUAUGAUACUGUUGGCUGUUACAAAUAUGGUUGGAUUUUGCUGCACGUUCUUGGUGACCGAGACAAAAGGGAGAUCACUCGAAGAAAUUACAGGGGAGGAUGGCGGGCAGAAUGAGACACAAAUGAAGACUAGCAAACCUGUCUCUGGCCAUCAAGACGACGGAUGGGAAUGAUACAAGUUCAAUACAUCAUUCAAUAAAGGGGCUAAUACAUCACUACGCCUUGUGCUUUCUAUCUUCACUCACCUCUAUGAAUAAGAGCUUUAACACGAUCAAUGACCUCAGUACAAAUUACACUAAUAGUAUCGUAUAAAGCCCGCAUAGACAUUUUUAUCUGUUCAUGUU